rnacentral:rRNA from 1 species
GAUGAACGCUAGCGAUAGGCUUAACACAUGCAAGUCGAGGGGCAGCGCGAGGUAGCAAUACUUUGGCGGCGACCGGCGCACGGGUGCGUAACACGUAUGUAACUUACCUCUUACAAUCGGAUAACACGGUGAAAGUCGUGCUAAUACGGUAUAGUUUCGCAAGCUCGCAUGGGUAUGCGAAUAAAGAUUUAUCGGUAAGAGAUAGACAUGCGGUCCAUUAGAUAGUUGGUGAGGUAACGGCUCACCAAGUCGACGAUGGAUAGGGGGACUGAGAGGUUGACCCCCCACACUGGUACUGAGACACGGACCAGACUCCUACGGGAGGCAGCAGUGAGGAAUAUUGGUCAAUGGGCGAGAGCCUGAACCAGCCAAGUCGCGUGAAGGAAGACGGUUCAUAAGGAUUGUAAACUUCUUUUGCAGAGGAGUAACGAUAGGCACGUGUGCCUGUGUGAACGUACUCUGCGAAUAAGUAUCGGCUAACUCCGUGCCAGCAGCCGCGGUAAUACGGAGGAUACGAGCGUUAUCCGGAUUUAUUGGGUUUAAAGGGUGCGCAGGUGGUCCUGCAAGUCAGCGGUGAAAAGCUGAGGCUCAACCUCAGCCUUGCCGUUGAAACUGCAAGACUUGAGAGUACAUGAUGUGGGCGGAAUGCGUAGUGUAGCGGUGAAAUGCAUAGAUAUUACGCAGAACUCCGAUUGCGAAGGCAGCUCACAAAGGUAUAUCUGACACUGAGGCACGAAAGCGUGGGGAGCAAACAGGAUUAGAUACCCUGGUAGUCCACGCCGUAAACGAUGAUUACUCGAAGUAUGCGAUAUGACAGUAUGCUUCCAAGCGAAAGUGAUAAGUAAUCCACCUGGGGAGUACGCCGGCAACGGUGAAACUCAAAGGAAUUGACGGGGGCCCGCACAAGCGGAGGAACAUGUGGUUUAAUUCGAUGAUACGCGAGGAACCUUACCCGGGAUUGAAAUGUAUGUGCACCUCUUGGGAAACCGAGAGGGUUCUCUUCGGAGACACAUAUGUAGGUGCUGCAUGGUUGUCGUCAGCUCGUGCCGUGAGGUGUCGGCUUAAGUGCCAUAACGAGCGCAACCCUUAUCGUCAGUUACUAACAGGUCAAGCUGAGGACUCUGGCGAGACUGCCGUCGUAAGGCGAGAGGAAGGUGGGGAUGACGUCAAAUCAGCACGGCCCUUACAUCCGGGGCGACACACGUGUUACAAUGGUAGGGACAGAGAGUAGCCACUCGGUGACGAGGAGCGGAUCUUGAAACCCUAUCUCAGUUCGGAUCGGAGUCUGCAACUCGACUCCGUGAAGCCGGAUUCGCUAGUAAUCGCGCAUCAGCCAUGGCGCGGUGAAUACGUUCCCGGGCCU